AACGAACGCUGGCGGCAUGCUUAACACAUGCAAGUCGAACGAGACCGUCGGGUCUGGUGGCGCACGGGUGGGUAACGCGUGGGAGCCUGCCCUUAGGUUCGGCAUACCUCCCCGAAAGGGGUGCUAAAACCGUAUCAUGUCUUCGGACCAAAGAUCUAUCGCUUUUGGUUGGGCCCGCGUCGGAUUAGCUAGUUGGUAGGGUAAAAGCCUACCAAGGCGACGAUCCAUAGCUGGUCUGAGAGGAUGAUCAGCCACACUGGGAGUGAGACACGGCCCAGACUCCUACGGGAGGCAGCAGUGGGGAAUAUUGGACAAUGGGAGUAAGCCUGAUCCAGCCAUGCCGCGUGAGUGAUGAAGGCCUUAGGGUUGUAAAGCCCUUUUACCGGGGAUGAUCAUGACAUUACCGGCAGAAUAAGCUCCGGCUAACUCCGUG
rnacentral:rRNA from 1 species